CAGCAGCCGCGGUAAUACGAAGGGGGCUAGCGUUGUUCGGAUUUACUGGGCGUAAAGGGCGCGUAGGCGGACUGAUAAGUCAGGGGUGAAAUCCCAAGGCUCAACCUUGGAACUGCCUUUGAUACUGUUUGUCUUGAGUUCGAGAGAGGUAAGUGGAACUGCGAGUGUAGAGGUGAAAUUCGUAGAUAUUCGCAAGAACACCAGUGGCGAAGGCGGCUUACUGGCUCGAAACUGACGCUGAGGCGCGAAAGCGUGGGGAGCAAACAGGAUUAGAGACCCCGGUAGUCCCUGUCUCUUAUAC
rnacentral:rRNA from 1 species